rnacentral:rRNA from 1 species
UACGAAGGGGGCUAGCGUUGCUCGGAAUCACUGGGCGUAAAGCGCGUGUAGGCGGCCAUCUAAGUCGGGCGUGAAAUCCCACGGCUCAACCGUGGAAGUGCACUCGAAACUGGAUGGCUAGAGUCCUGGAGAGGAAGGUGGAAUGCUUGGUGUAGAGGUGAAAUUCGUAGAUAUUCGCAAGAACACCAGUGGCGAAGGCGGCUCACUGGCCCGGUACUGACGCUGAGGUGCGAAAGCGUGGGGAGCAAACAGG